GGAGAGGUGCUGGAGUGGACUAUCAGGCACGCCUGGAGAGCGUGAGUCGAGGUAACUCGACCGUGGGUUCGAAUCCCACCCUCUCCG
rnacentral:tRNA from 1 species